ACUCAAAGGAAUUGACGGGGACCCGCACAAGCGGUGGAGCGUGUGGUUUAAUUCGACACUAAGCGAAGAACCUUACCAGGGUUUGACAUCCCAGGAAUCCCCUCGAAAGAGGGGAGUGCCGCAAGGAGCCUGGUGACAGGUGCUGCAUGGCCGUCGUCAGCUCGUGUCGUGAGAUGUUGGGUUAAGUCCCGCAACGAGCGCAACCCCUGUCGUGUGUUGUAUUUUUCACGCGAGACUGCCUCGGUCAACGAGGAGGAAGGUGGGGUCGAAGUCAGGUCAGCAUGGCCCUUAUACCCUGGGCGACACACGCGCUACAAUGGCCGGUACAACGGGUCGCGAUGCCGUAAGGCGAAGCUAAUCCCAUCAAAGCCGGUCUCAGUUCGGAUUGGAGUCUGCAACUCGACUCCAUGAAGCCGGAAUCGCUAGUAAACGCGGAUCAGCCACGCUGCGUUGAAUACGUUCUCGGGUCUUGUACACACCGCCCGU
rnacentral:rRNA from 1 species